rnacentral:lncRNA from 1 species
CCCCUUCCGCCCCCGCAAAAGGGCGAAAACCUCCCAAAUCUACAGUUUUGAAGAUAAAAUAAAACUAAAAAAGCCAUUCCGUAGGGAAUGGCCAUAUCUUUCAGAUCACCGAAUAUGAAUCCGAUUGGAUCAUUAUUAUAGCUACAAUGGCAAUUAAUUUCCAGUGGCCAAACCCACCCUGUCCCGCAGUUUUUGGUACUCUUUUUACAUUCUUUCAUUCACACUCUGCUUCUGCUUCACUCGGCCCCUACCUCUGCCCUCCCCCUGGCGUUGACUCUUCCGACUUUUAACCAAGACUCGGUUUUGAACGCUAAUUGGCGCCACUUUCGAAAAAUUUGCUGUGAAACCUAUCGGUCAUUAUUGCACAGAAUGUGCAGACCAUUGGACCAUCAAAGUUGCGUACAAGAAAUUUUCAUAGAUGGCGGCAGAAGGAAUACCCUCUUUGGCCACUUGGCUAAGGGGCGUCAUGAUACCCAAUAUUUCCACCUGUUUGUGUUCGUAUGUGGUCUUCUCCACCUGACUAUUAACGACCUGCAUAGACGACGUCACUGAAACGUUCUGCUCGGGUGCGUCGAACUGUUCAUAACUGUUCUGCUCAAAAUGUGGGCCCAUCUCUGUCUCCAUAACCGCUGUCUCCACUACCUGAGCCACAGCCUGGCCACCACGGAAAUCAAUGUCCGCAAAAACAGCUGACAUUGGAUGGCCAUCUGCAAGACGUGGCGGCACCGGCGCGUGGUGGUUCUUCUCGCUAUCCAGGUACAACGCCAC